CACGUAGGGGCGAGCGUUGUCCGGAAUUACUGGGCGUAAAGGGCGCGCAGGCUGUUAUGCGAGUCUGCUGUGAAAUGUACCGGCUCAACCGGUGCCUUGCGGCGGAUACUGCAUAGCUGGAGUACUGGAGAGGGAAGUGGAAUUCCCGGUGUAGCGGUGAAAUGCGUAGAUAUUAGGAGGAACAUCAGUGGCGAAGGCGGCUUACUGGACUGUAACUGACGCUGAGUCACGAAAGCGUGGGUAGCAAACAGGAUUAGA
rnacentral:rRNA from 1 species